AACGAACGCUGGCGGCAGGCUUAACACAUGCAAGUCGAGCGCCCCGCAAGGGGAGCGGCAGACGGGUGAGUAACGCGUGGGAACGUACCUUUUGGUUCGGAACAACUCCGGGAAACUGGAGCUAAUACCGGAUAAGCCCUAACGGGGAAAGAGUUAUCGCCGAAAGAUCGGCCCGCGUCUGAUUAGCUAGUUGGUGAGGUAACGGCUCACCAAGGCGACGAUCAGUAGCUGGUCUGAGAGGAUGAUCAGCCACACUGGGACUGAGACACGGCCCAGACUCCUACGGGAGGCAGCAGUGGGGAAUAUUGGACAAUGGGCGCAAGCCUGAUCCAGCCAUGCCGCGUGAGUGAUGAAGGCCUUAGGGUUGUAAAGCUCUUUUGUCCGGGAAGAUAAUGACUGUACCGGAAGAAUAAGCCCCGGCUAACUUCGUG
rnacentral:rRNA from 1 species